AAAAAAAAAAAAAAAAAAAAAAGAAAUGAAUCUAGCCAUUCCACAAAUAUUCAAGGGCUAGACACUGGGGAUUGAAAAGUAAAAAAGGUAAGGUAACUUUCUAGGUGAGAAGACGGUAAAUAAGGUGAUUCCAGAUAGUAACUAGGGUUGUGAAAUUGGUAAGAACUAGGUGGUGAAAUGGGUGCUAGAGGAAGUCUUCCUGAGAAAGGGCCAUUUGAGGUGCUUCCAUUGACGUGAUUCAGAAGUCCGCAGGGCAAUACAGGCUCAAAUAGGACUACAUCACCUUUACACUUCAGAUGGUGUCAACGAAAGAAAGACCUUUAAGAGGGUGCUGGACUGCAAUAACGAACAAGAGAGGUAUAGUACCUGCCCUUAAGAAACCAACAAGUCACAAACAAGUUAUUGCAGAUUUCGGUAAGUUCUUUUAGAAAAUCAAAGCUUUACCUUAAGCAUAAAAUAAAUUAGCUUUCCCCCUUGUUGCUUUUGCUACAGUGUGGGCCCAUGAACUGUUUCUCCUCUGUGAUGCUCCUGUGCCAUGUGCCACUGCCUUGGGGCCAGCCAAUUAUGGACUGGAACCUCUACAAACUAUGAGCUAUAAACCCUUUCCCCUUUAAAAAUAAAUAAAUAAAUAAAAUUAGCUUGAAAUCCUCACCUAAAAUUCUUUUAGAA
rnacentral:lncRNA from 1 species